CCAACGGCUCUUUUAAGAGCCACCCAAAUCUUUUCUGAAAAGAGCUG
rfam:Pterocles gutturalis contig35153, whole genome shotgun sequence.